rnacentral:rRNA from 1 species
GACGAACGCUGGCGGCGUGCUUAACACAUGCAAGUCGAGCGGUAAGGCCCUUUCGGGGGUACACGAGCGGCGAACGGGUGAGUAACACGUGGGUGACCUGCCCUCAGCUCUGGGAUAAGCCUGGGAAACCGGGUCUAAUACUGGAUAUGACUCCAUGACGCAUGUUGUGGGGUGGAAAGCCUUGUGCGGCUGAGGAUGGGCCCGCGGCCUAUCAGCUUGUUGGUGGGGUGAUGGCCUACCAAGGCGACGACGGUAGCCGGCCUGAGAGGGCGACCGGCCACACUGGGACUGAGACACGGCCCAGACUCCUACGGGAGGCAGCAGUGGGGAAUCUUGCGCAAUGGGCGAAAGCCUGACGCAGCGACGCCGCGUGAGGGNU